rnacentral:sRNA from 1 species
AAACGAUGGUCAGCGAUGGCCAUGGACUUCCGAUGAGUGGCAGGCGGACAGGAUCCUCCGAAAUGAUCAGGGUUCCAUUGACUUGACCACAGGAAAAUCCAUUUGCUCAGUUUUUCCGUCGGCCUGAAUCCGAAAUGCGAAAACUGGCGGCCGCCUGAAUAAUGAAGGCAAAUCGGAAAAGAGGCAAAACAGCAAAAAGUUAAAUGCCUCUAAUGACAGAAAAUGAAGCAAAUGACGAAAAAUUGCGCAAAACAAAGGAGACAAAUAAUAAUAUGCGAAAAUGGUUGACUCGGACGCUUCCACCCACCAGAGGCCACCGACCACCGCCCACUUGAGGCCACCACAUCCACGUCCACAUCCUCGAGAGCUCAAAGGAGAGGAGCUGGCACGCACCAGCGAAGAUAGGAAGGUAACCGUGGGGGCCAAGUGAAUUACCAACAACGGGCGAAUCAAGAAAAGCAUGUGCGCGGCAUAAUUACGAAGCAAUUAGACGAAAUUAUUAUUGAGGUCAGCGGCGAGGGGAUGCCGGGGAGCACAGGACACCAGGCCCCCGAGAACAUAUGGCCAUAGUCAAGCCACCCACCCCCCUUUUUGGUGGGCGUCGGACCAAAGGGAUGCGUAUGCCAUUAUUAUUCACGCCGGGUGAGGGAAUGGAAAGGAAGUAGGACCUCUAAAUGGGCACCACAAAGCGCAGACCAAAACAACACAACGUAGCUACAAGCUGGUUUAAGCGGCGAAAACCGGAAAAAAAUUACGGAAAACUACGAGAGGACGAGGACACGCCGAAUAGGUCGAGAAAAAUAUAAACAAAUGGUUAACAAAUCAUUUUAGGGCAGCAGUAUGGCUCAAGUUUCCACUAUAAAAGUUAACAAAUACAGUAAAAUCUAAAAU